UACGUAGGGAGCAAGCGUUGUCCGGAAUCAUUGGGCGUAAAGCGCGUGUAGGCGGUUCGGUAAGUCCGCUGUGAAAGUCGAGGGCUCAACCCUCGGAUGCCGGUGGAUACUGUCGGACUAGAGUACGGAAGAGGCGAGUGGAAUUCCUGGUGUAGCGGUGAAAUGCGCAGAUAUCAGGAGGAACACCAAUUGCGAAGGCAGCUCGCUGGGACGUUACUGACGCUGAGACGCGAAAGCGUGGGGAGCAAACAGG
rnacentral:rRNA from 1 species